GAUGAACGCUAGCGGCAGGCUUAAUACAUGCAAGUCGAGGGGUAACAUGGUAGCAAUACUGAUGACGACCGGCAAACGGGUGCGGAACACGUACAGAACCUUCCUUUAAGCGGGGGAUAGCCCAUAGAAAUGUGGAUUAAUACCCCAUAGCAAUAUUUGAUGGCAUCAUUAGAUAUUUAAAGAUUUAUCACUUAAAGAUGGCUGUGCGGCUGAUUAGGUAGNGGUGCGGGUAACGGCCCACCAAGCCAUCGAUCAGUAACUGGUGUGAGAGCACGACCAGUCACACGGGCACUGAGACACGGGCCCGACUCCUACGGGAGCAGCAGUAAGGAAUAUUGGUCAAUGGGC
rnacentral:rRNA from 1 species